AACGAACGCUGGCGGCGUGCCUAACACAUGCAAGUCGAGCGCGAAAAGGGCAACCUGAGUAGAGCGGCGCACGGGUGCGUAACACGUGGGUAAUCUGCCUUAGAGUCGAGGAUAACCUUCCGAAAGGUUGGCUAAUACUCGGUAAGCUUACGGUGUCUUCGGACGCUGUGGGAAAAGUAGGCCUCUGUUUACAAGCUUACGCUCUGAGAUGAGCCCGCGGCCCAUCAGCUAGUUGGCGGUGUAACGGACCACCAAGGCAACGACGGGUAGCUGGUCUGAGAGGACGAUCAGGCAGAAGGGAACUGAGACACGGUCCAGACACCGACGGGAGGCAGCAGUGGGGAAUUUUCCACAAUGGGCGAAAGCGUGAUGGAGCAACGCCGCGUGUGUGAUGAAGGUUUUCGGAUCGUAAAGCACUGUCGACUGGGACGAAAAACCUUUGGCUAACAUCCAGGGGCCUGACGGUACCAGGAGAAGAAGCACCGGCUAACUCUGUGCCAGCAGCCGCCGUAAAAC
rnacentral:rRNA from 1 species